AGUCACUGACAUUAGAUACCCGCGUAGUCCAGGGUGUAAACGCUGCAGACUUGGUGUUGGAAGCCCUUUGGGGGCAUUCAGUGCCGGAGAGAAGUUGUUAAGUCUGCUACUUGGGAGUACGUCCGCAAGGAUGAAACUUAAAGGAAUUGGCGGGGGAGCACCGCAACGGGAGGAGCGUGCGGUUUAAUUGGAUUCAACACCGUAAACUCACCAGGGAAGACUGUUACAUGAAGGCCGAGAUGAAGACUCUGCUAGAUUUUCAG
rnacentral:rRNA from 1 species